rnacentral:lncRNA from 1 species
AAAAUAUCAGAGACUGAACUAGUUUGGGACAUUGAGACUAUCUAGAAAUAGAUGGCAUCUGGAUUUGGCUGGUGGGCUGUAGUUUGCUGACCCCUGCACUCAAGCCCUGGGGAGGCGAGGAUAACAAAGAAGCUGAGGAAGUCUGGGCUGAAGGAACCAUGACAAAGCACCAGA